UACGUAGGGUGCAAGCGUUGUCCGGAAUUAUUGGGCGUAAAGAGCUCGUAGGCGGUCUGUCGCGUCGGCUGUGAAACCCGAGGCUCAACCUCGGGCCUGCAGUCGAUACGGGCAGACUAGAGUGCUGUAGGGGAGACUGGAAUUCCUGGUGUAGCGGUGAAAUGCGCAGAUAUCAGGAGGAACACCGGUGGCGAAGGCGGCAUCCUGGGACCGGCACUGACGCUGAGGAGCGAAAGCCAGGGGAGCAAACGGG
rnacentral:rRNA from 1 species